rnacentral:tRNA from 1 species
GGCGAUGUGGUGAAAUUGGUAGACACGCUACCUUGAGGUGGUAGUGCCGUUAGGUUUGGGAGUUCGAAUCUCCCCAUCGUCA